GACUUGGGAGCAGCCCCAGGGAUUUUAUUUCGGGAUUUUGUCUCUGAGGAAGGACUUGGUCCUGUGCCAAACACUCCAAGGAUGCUGCUGCUUCUGCUCAGGGAUGGUUUAACUCAGAAGAAUUGAUCCUAAACAGGCACUCAUCACUUCCAGCUAAUUCCACCCUGUUUGCAAAUGGAACAGCUCUGCAGCUCAGAGGCCCUGACAGACUGAGACCACAAGUGGAACAGGCUUCUCCUGGAAAUCCUGAGGAUUGCUUUUGGCUUAGCACUGUCAGAGCACUUGGGUAGAAGGGAGAUUCACUCCAAGAGCGUGUGUGGGACAGCAAAGGGCUGCCAGAAAUGAGUGUUCCUGACCUUAAAUCCACAAGGAUCCUCUGUGGACACAACCCCAUCCCAGGAAUGGUGGGAGCUCAACAGAGGACCAGUAGGAUAUUUCUUCGAGAUAAGCGAUAAAAAUGGCAAGAUCUGGGAACUGGCUGGUGGAUGAGCUGCCUGGAGAUGUGCAGCAUUCCCAGGAGCUCUGGGAGAAGGCGCUUCACCCUUGGAGCUCUGGAAGCUGUGCCAGGGUUGCUGCUGCAUCUUUAGCAAAUCAAACUAUUUGCACGGUACUUGCUUCUUAAUCCAGGGAAAUUAAACCCACCAGUGGUAGCUGCGUUUUCCAGCCACCUGCUCUCCCAGGUGCUCCCACGCCCGCUCGGAGAUGGGAGAUGUGACCCAGAAUUCUUCUGCAGAGCUGGGAUCCUUCCCAGCACAGGCCAGGCUUCUAUCAGCUCCAGUAAAAAUCAAGAUCUGAUGGCAGAGCAUAUGUCCAUUGCAUAAUUCAUUAGAGUUCUCAGCAACUAUUUUUAGGUAUUUUUCAAUCGGAG